rnacentral:tmRNA from 1 species
GGGGACGUUUAUGGAUUCGACAGGGGUCCCCAGAGCUUAUUAAGCGUGUCGGAGGGUUGUCUCCGUCACUAACACACUCAGUUUAUAAUAACUGGCAAAUCAAACAAUAAUUUCGCAGUAGCUGCGUAAUAGCACUCUGCAUCGCCUAACAGCAUUUCCUAUGUGCUGUUAACGCGAUUCAACCUUAAUAGGAUAUGCUAAACACUGCCGUUUGAAGUCUGUUUAGAUGAAACUUAAUCAAACUAGCAU